AUGACAAAACACCACAGUACAACCUUCUUACUAGAUAAAAAAGAUGUUGUGCUUGUUAAACCCUCAAAACCCACGUCUUUGGGUGUUCUUUCUCUUUCUAGCAUUGACAAUGGUCCUGGCCUUGCGCUUCUAUGCCAAACAGUCUAUGUGUACCGAUCAAAUGUUGAUUCUUUUUAUGAUAAUAAUCAUGACUUCGCAUCAAGUAUUAGGGGGAAAGCAGAUCCAGCUUGUGUGAUCAGUGAAGCCCUCUCCAAGGCUUUGGUUUAUUACUAUCCUCUGGCUGGCAAGCUAAAGAAAAACAGUGAUGGAAAACUUCAAAUCAAUUGCACCGCAGAUGGAGUACCAUUCUUAGUGGCAACUGCGAAUUGCAAGCUCUCUUCUCUUCAUUAUUUAGAUGGGGUUGAUGUUGAAGUAGCCAAGCAGUUUGUCUUUGACUUUCCAUCUGAAGGUGACUCAGGUUACCACCCUCUUGUCUUGAUGGUGACCAAAUUUUCAUGUGGGGGUUUUCACAAUUGGGACGGGCUUGUCACACGCCGUAUGUGAUGGGUUCGGUGCAGCACAGUUCUUUCGAGCCCUGGCUGAGCUUGCAAGUGGAAAGAGCGAGCCCUCGGUGAAACCUGUGUGGGAGAGGGAAAGACUGGUGGCAACACCUACUGAGGAGCCUUUACACCACCCUGUGGAUCAGUCUUCUUUGGCAACUUCACCAUAUAUGCCAACUACAGACAUCUUGCAUGAAUGCUUUUACGUAAGUACUGAUAGUAUAAAAAGACUGAAACUGAGCUUGAUUGAGGAAUGUGGGAGUGGAAAUUUGAAUGAAGGUUUCACCACUAUUGAGGUUCUUGGCGCCUAUGUUUGGAGAUCAAGGUUUAGAGCUCUAAAAUUGAACUCAGAUGGGAAAACCCUCUUCUCUUUGACUAUGGGGAUAAGGAAUCUAUUGAAUCCACCUUUGCCAAUUGGGUAUUAUGGGAAUGCCAUUUCGUCUGUAUUUGUCGUGUUAACGGGAGGGGAGCUUAAUCAGGUGCCACUCUCAAAGGUGGCGAAACUUAUAAAAGACAGCAAAAAAGUUGCUUCCAACCCUGAUUACAUCCUGCACUCACUAAGAGUUUGGGAGAGACUCGGACAACAAAAUAUAAAUUAUGAAGCUAGUGGUGCAUCAAUGGUUUUAACAGAUUGGAGGCAACUAGGUCUGUUGGAAGAAAUAGACUUUGGAUGGAACGACCCAAUAAACAUCAUACCCCUGCCAAUGAACAUGUUUGGAUAUGUGGAUUUUUGUUUGUUCUUGCCUUCUUGCAAUGUGGAUCCUUCAAUGAAAGGUGGUGUUAGGAUAUUUGUUUCAUUUCCCAGAGCUGCCAUGGCCAAGUUCAAAGAAGAGAUAAAUACUCUCAAGCUUGGAGAUAAUGGUGAACGUAUCUGA